rnacentral:rRNA from 1 species
AUUGAACGCUGGCGGCAUGCCUUACACAUGCAAGUCGAACGGUAACAGGUCUUCGGAUGCUGACGAGUGGCGAACGGGUGAGUAAUACAUCGGAACGUGCCCGAUCGUGGGGGAUAACGAGGCGAAAGCUUUGCUAAUACCGCAUACGAUCUACGGUUGAAAGCGGGGGAUCUUCGGACCUCGCGCGGACGGAGCGGCCGAUGGCAGAUUAGGUAGUUGGUGGGAUAAAAGCUUACCAAGCCGACGAUCUGUAGCUGGUCUGAGAGGAUGAUCAGCCACACUGGGACUGAGACACGGCCCAGACUCCUACGGGAGGCAGCAGUGGGGAAUUUUGGACAAUGGGCGAAAGCCUGAUCCAGCCAUGCCGCGUGCAGGAUGAAGGCCUUCGGGUUGUAAACUGCUUUUGUACGGAACGAAAAGCCUCUUUCUAAUAAAGAGGGGUCAUGACGGUACCGUAAGAAUAAGCACCGGCUAACUACGUG